UACAGAGGGUGCAAGCGUUAAUCGGAAUUACUGGGCGUAAAGCGUGCGUAGACGGUUAUGUAAGUUAGGUGUGAAAGCCCCGGGCUCAACCUGGGAAUUGCAUUCGAGACUGAAUAGCUAGGGUGCGGUAGAGGGAAGCGGAAUUUCCGGUGUAGCGGUGAAAUGCGUAGAUAUCGGAAGGGACAUCAGUGGCGAAAGCGGCUUCCUGGACCAGCACCGACGUUCAGGCACGAAAGCGUGGGGAGCAAACAGG
rnacentral:rRNA from 1 species